AUCGAUGAAGAACGCAGCGAAAUGCGAUAAGUAAUGUGAAUUGCAGAAUUCAGUGAAUCAUCGAAUCUUUGAACGCACAUUGCGCCCUCUGGUAUUCCGGAGGGCAUGCCUGUUCGAGCGUCAUUUCAACCCUCAAGCCUGGCUUGGUGAUGGGGCACUGCUUCUUACCCGAGAAGCAGGCCCUGAAAUUCAGUGGCGAGCUCGCCAGGACCCCGAGCGCAGUAGUUAAACCCUCGCUCUGGAAGGCCCUGGCGGUGCCCUGCCGUUAAACCCCCAACUUCUGAAAAUUUGACCUCGGAUCAGGUAGGAAUACCCGCUGAACUUAAGCAUAUCAAUAAGCGGAGGAAAAGAAACCAACAGGGAUUGCCCUAGUAACGGCGAGUGAAGCGGCAACAGCUCAAAUUUGAAAUCUGGCCUCGGCCCGAGUUGUAAUUUGCAGAGGAUGCUUCUGGCGCGGUGCCUUCCGAGUUCCCUGGAACGGGACGCCACAGAGGGUGAGAGCCCCGUAUGGUCGGACACCAAGCCUGUGUGAAGCUCCUUCGACGAGUCGAGUAGUUUGGGAAUGCUGCUCUAAAUGGGAGGUAAAUCUCUUCUAAAGCUAAAUACCGGCCAGAGACCGAUAGCGCACAAGUAGAGUGAUCGAAAGAUGAAAAGCACCUUGAAAAGGGGGUUAAAUAGUACGUGAAAUUGUUGAAAGGGAAGCACUUAUGACCAGACUUGGGCCGGGCGGCUCAUCAGGGGUUCUCCCCUGUGCACUCCGCCCGGCACAGGCCAGCAUCGGUUCUCGUGGGGGGAUAAGACCGUCAGGAACGUAGCACCCUCCGGGGUGUGUUAUAGCCUGGCGGACGAUACCCCCGUGGGGACCGAGGUCCGCGCUCCGCAAGGAU
rnacentral:rRNA from 1 species